rnacentral:lncRNA from 1 species
ACGCUAUGCCCCUGCUGUAUGUGCAGAGACCCGAAAUGCUGACAAGAAAUACUCCAAGGCCCUGCCUGCUGGUGCGUUUUGAGGGUGGCGCCACAUCAGCAGGCAAUGCCACCAGACUCUUUUCUGAGCCCUCAGCACAGAUCUGUCUUUGGUACUGGAUGCUGCCACCCAGCAGCGGGCCCUUUCCUACAAGAACUUCUUGAACUGACAUAUACUGAAAAGCUGACAGCGACCCUGAAUUAUGGACGCACACUUUCUGUGUAUGGAGGCAGAGAGGAGCGAGCAUGUUACCUUCCCCCAGGGAUUGGUCCUGAACAACAAUCCAAGGGGAACCAAACCGAUACUCAAGCUAUAACCCUCAAUUAAAAAAAAAUUCAAAAAGA